CGGGAGGACCCAGUCCAAGUGGGUGUGGAAGGACUCUGGAGUCGACGGGCAGUGCAGCCCGCAGGACCCAGCUGGCGGUGCCUGCUGGCCACUGAGAGAGGUCCUGCAAGCAAGUCCAGGCUUCAGGGAACCCGAUCCUUUGAGUUCCAGGUCCCACGAGGGCCCCUCCAGUGCCCGUCAGUCUCGCCAGUUCGCUUCCAGGGACGCAGGAAACACAGGCAGACCCCAGGGCUGUAGGAGUUGCCCUGGUGACCUGGUGACGGCUGACCCUGGAUCCUGGUUCUCAGGGCUCCGGAUUCCCACUUGAGCACAGGAAACAGCUGUGGGAAGCAGCCUGGGCCUGGAAGGGGCCUGUCUGGCUGGUCAUCCGCACCAAGGACCAGCGUUUGUAGAGUGAAUGAAUGAUGGAGAGAGGGCAAUGCUGAAGAACCCAAAUGCAAGUCGGAAAUAGGAAUGGCCACAUGUCCGGCUUGCCCAAAGCCAUGUCCUGCCCAGAUAUUUUGGAAAAAAGAAUCUAAAGAAUGAUAGUAUUUUGUGACACACGACAAUGUUAGGAAAUUCACAUUUUGGCGAUCUGGGAGUGGGAUGUGGGGGCCUCCUGUGGUCCUCCUGGCCCAUACCAUGCAGGCAGUCCAGUUGCAUGCAUUGGGUGCUAGGAUGGGAAUGUAGAGCCACAGCCUUUGCUCCUGGUGGGCUUAGCUCUGCCCUGGCUCUGGCCCUACACGGUGAGGAGCCCCCUGUUUCUAGUGUCCUGGAUUUACAGAGACCCAGACUCUACCAGCCCCUGCCUCUGCACCUUUGCCUAGGACAUUCCGCUGCCUGGAAUGUCUCCUCUGUCUGCCUAGCCAACCCCUCCCCAUCCCAGGUGCAGCCAGAUGCCCUUCCCAGCCCCAAAGUGUCCUUCCCAUCACACAUAGCCCUGAGGGAUACCCAGCUCCUCUGCUAGCCUGUACCAGGCUAUAGGCCAGGUCACCCCGCAUCAGUAGUGAAUGGCCAGCAGCAGCUUCCAGUGCUCAGUGGGCUUCUCUUGAGGUUCCCACCACCUUGGGCAGGUUGAGGGGGUGAUGAGAGGCCUGGCCAGAGGGCAGUGAGAUAGGUCAGAGGGCAAGGGGUCAGUUGGGCCUAGAGAAGCCCAGAGGACUGGGCACAGUGGCUCAUACCUGUAAUCCCACCUCUUUGGGAGGCUGAGGCAGGAGGAUCUCAUGAGCCCAGGGUGCGGUGAGCCAUGAUCCCGCCACUGCACUCUAGCCUGGGCAACACAGUUAGACCCCAUCUUAAAAAAUGUAAAAUAAAAUAAAAAACAGAGAGGAGGUGGGGGUAACUCUGAGUCCAGGAGAUAAGGGCUUAGUUAACUGGUUAGUUGGUUAGAUAGUAGGUGAGUUUGUUCACUCAUUUGUGCCCUCCACUUGGGAUAGAGUGACUCUGCCUCCUCCGAGCAGCUGCUGGGGCCCUGGGGCAGGACUGACCCGGCUGGCUCUGGACCAGGUGGAGAAACAUAUAUUUGAUUCUUACUCUGCACCAGGAAUCAGCCAACUACAGUCCCCAGGCCAAAUCCAGCCCAGGUCCUUGCCACCCUGCUCCCUGAUUACCUCGAUCACGUGUGAGCUGGGCCCACACACGGUGCCAGGCUCCACCACCUCCUGCCCAUUUGGCCAUGGGGUACUUACCUGUCCAGGA